AGUGAACGCUGGCGGUAGGCCUAACACAUGCAAGUCGAACGGCAGCACAGUAAGAGCUUGCUCUUACGGGUGGCGAGUGGCGGACGGGUGAGGAAUACAUCGGAAUCUACUUUUUCGUGGGGGAUAACGUAGGGAAACUUACGCUAAUACCGCAUACGACCUACGGGUGAAAGCAGGGGAUAUUCGCACCUUGCGCGAUUGAAUGAGCCGAUGUCGGAUUAGCUAGUUGGGGGGGUAAAGGCCCACCAAGGCGACGAUCCGUAGCUGGCCUGAGAGGAUGAUCAGCCACACUGGAACUGAGACACGGUCCAGACUCCUACGGGAGGCAGCAGUGGGGAAUAUUGGACAAUGGGCGCAAGCCUGAUCCAGCCAUACCGCGUGGGUGAAGAAGGCCUUCGGGUUGUAAAGCCCUUUUGUUGGGAAAGAAAAGCAGCAGGUUAAUACCCCGCUGUUCUGACGGUACCCAAAGAAUAAGCACCGGCUAACUUCGUG
rnacentral:rRNA from 1 species